AGUCGACCGCCGCCUGCCGUUGCGCCGGAGCCACUUUUGACCGCCAAAAGAGGUAAAAUUUUCUCCAUUCGCUUGAAAUUAAAUUUUGAACACCCACAUGGCCAAAUUAGAGCAAAAAGACCGGCGGAUAAGCCAAAAACCGUGAGCAAAGCUCAAGGGUGCUAUUGCAAAAAAAAUAAAAAUCGCCUCCGAUGAAGCUCUUCCCUAUUUUUGUUUCGUAUAAUUUUUCCACCAUUAUAGUCACCAUUCCUUUCUCUAUAGGUUGAUCAAAGUAAAACAUUAAAUCACGAAGGUGAUUCGGCAGAGCCGCAAUACCGAAAAACUUCGAUGCUAGUAAGCUUCAUUUUUUCGAC
rnacentral:lncRNA from 1 species